ACGGCUCAGUAACACGUGGAUAACAUGCCCUAAGGUGGGGGAUAAUCUCGGGAAACUGAGGAUAAUACCCCAUAGGUCUGAUCUGCUGGAAUGCUUUCAGGCCGAAAACUCCGGUGCCUUAGGAUUGGUCUGCGGUCUAUCAGGCAGUAGUGGGUGUAACGGACCCACUAGCCCGUGACGGAUAUGGGCCUUGAGAGAGGGAGCCCAGAGAUGGACUCUGAGACAUGAGUCCAGGCCCUACGGGGCGCAGCAGUCGCGAAAACUUCGCAAUGGGGGCAACCCCGACGAGGGAAUUCCAAGUGCCAGCACUUUGUGUUGGCUGUUCUCCUGUCUAAAAAACAGGAGGAGUAAGGGGCGGGUAAGACGGGUGCCAGCCGCCGCGGUAAUACCCGCGCCCCUAGUGGUGGUCGAUAUUAUUGAGCCUAAAACGUCCGUAGCCGGUCUUUUAAAUCCUUGGGUAAAUCGGGCAGCUUAACUGUCCGAAGUCCGGGGAGACUGGAAGACUUGGGACCGGGAGAGGUCAGAGGUACUUCUGGGGUAGGGGUAAAAUCCUGUAAUCCUGGAAGGACCACCGGUGGCGAAGGCGUCUGACUAGAACGGAUCCGACGGUGAGGGACGAAGCCCUGGGGCGCAAACGGGAUUAGAUACCCCGGUAGUCCAGGGUGUAAACGCUGCGGGCUUGGUGUUGGGGGUCCUUAGUGGGCGCCCAGUGCCGGAGAGAAGUUGUUAAGCCUGCUGCUUGGGGAGUAUGUCCGCAAGGAUGAAACUUAAAGGAAUUGGCGGGGGAGCAC
rnacentral:rRNA from 1 species